AUUGAACGCUGGCGGAAUGCUUUACACAUGCAAGUCGAGCGGCAGCGCGGGGCAACCUGGCGGCGAGCGGCGAACGGGUGAGUAAUGCAUCGGAACGUGUCCAUGUCGUGGGGGAUAGCCCGGCGAAAGCCGGAUUAAUACCGCAUACGCCCUGAGGGGGAAAGGUGGGGACCUAGCAAUAGGCCUCACGCGAUUGGGUCGGCCGAUGUCCGAUUAGCUAGUUGGUGAGGUAAAGGCUUACCAAGGCGAUGAUCGGUAGCUGGUCUGAGAGGAUGAUCAGCCACACUGGGACUGAGACACGGUCCAGACACCUACGGUGGCAGCAGUCGAGAAUUUUUCUCAAUGGGCGAAAGCCUAGAAGGAGCGACGCCGCGUGGGGGAUGAAUGGCUUCGGCCCGUAAACCCCUGUCAUUUG
rnacentral:rRNA from 1 species